GCUUCAUAUAGUUCAGUUAGUUAGCGCGUUGUGCUGACCAUGUCAAGGUUGCAGGUUCAGUCCCUGCAUGGGGCA